ACAAGAUAAUUAGGAAAAAAUACGAUGAAAGCUAAGAGUAAAAGCAAGAAGCUACAUAUUCUGGGGUGGUCAUGGGUGUAGAUCAAGGUGUCCUGAAAACAUACUUUGCAAGGCAAAGAGCAAUCAUACAUCAUGGGGUCAUGAGUUCAGCAAGGCAAGGGAUAGUCAUACAGUUUCGUAGGGUGCAUUAGGUUUAUUCUUAAACAAAAUAGAAACCUGUUCUUGUAGGGUGUGGCAAUUUAACAAGCACAGCUCCUUAACAACAAUGUGUUUCCUGUUCCGGUUUCACAGGGUCCCAGAGAAGAAGGGGGCCAGCACAGAUCUCUGCAAAGGGUCUCUCUCCUCACCCUUGUGUGGUCAAUCUGCUUCAAAAUCUGUAAGAUGUCUUCAUACUGGGAUGGAAGAAGAGUGCCUUGGGGAUCAAAAGGCCAGCUGUGCAUGCAGCAGAGCCACCAGUAUUAAUCAGGCUGGCUUUGGAUACCACCUCUGGAUACCUGGAUGCCCUCAGCAGCCUCCUGUGGGAUGAGGCCGACUGUCCUCAGGCUGCGGGCUUUCCUUAGUGCGUGGGACCCCACCGGGAGCAUAGCUGAAGCCUCAGCAUUCCUUACAGCCUUGGCUUUGGAGUCUCAGGAGGUGAUGUCACUCUGCCACGUGACACCCGCAGGACCGGACUGAUUCCAUCUUCUAAUGAGAGGAGUGUUUAAUAUAAACUUCCUCUCAAAUUUUAUUGCAUAAAGCAGGUGCUUUCUUGGUUAAUGGGUGUGUAGAAGUCAAGAAAAACUCCGUGAUGUCAUGUCCAGCUUGCUUAUUGUAAACCAUG